UUUUUAGCACAAGUAUGUCCCAUGCAAUAUAUAGGACAUACUUGUGCUAAAA
rfam:Canis lupus familiaris chromosome 6, whole genome shotgun sequence.